rnacentral:rRNA from 1 species
UACGUAGGGGGGCUAGCGUUGUCCGGAAUUAUUGGGCGUAAAGAGCUCGUAGGCGGUGUGUCACGUCGGCCGUGAAAAACCUGCAGCUUAACUGUGGGCGUGCGGGGCGAUACGGGGCAGACUGGAGUACUGCAGGGGGAGACUGGAAUUCCUGGUGUAGCGGUGGAAUGCGCAGAUAUCAGGAGGAACACCGGUGGCGAAGGCGGGGUCUCUGGGCAGUAACUGACGCUGAGGAGCGAAAAGCGUGGGGGAGCGAACAGG